UCGAGCGGUAGAGAGAAGCUUGCUUCUCUUGAGAGCGGCGGACGGGUGAGUAAUGCCUAGGAAUCUGCCUGGUAGUGGGGGAUAACGUUCGGAAACGGACGCUAAUACCGCAUACGUCCUACGGGAGAAAGCAGGGGACCUUCGGGCCUUGCGCUAUCAGAUGAGCCUAGGUCGGAUUAGCUAGUUGGUGGGGUAAUGGCUCACCAAGGCGACGAUCCGUAACUGGUCUGAGAGGAUGAUCAGUCACACUGGAACUGAGACACGGUCCAGACUCCUACGGGAGGCAGCAGUGGGGAAUAUUGGACAAUGGGCGAAAGCCUGAUCCAGCCAUGCCGCGUGUGUGAAGAAGGUCUUCGGAUUGUAAAGCACUUUAAGUUGGGAGGAAGGGUUGUAGAUUUACACUCUGNCAUUUUGACGUUACCGACAGAAUAAGCACCGGCUAACUCUGUG
rnacentral:rRNA from 1 species